GGCCUUCGGGCCUUGGUAGCGCAGCUAACGCGUGAAGUUGACCGCCUGGGGAGUACGGUCGCAAGAUUAAAACUCAAAGGAAUUGACGGGGACCCGCACAAGCGGUGGAUGAUGUGGAUUAAUUCGAUGCAACGCGAAAAACCUUACCUACCCUUGACAUGUCUGGAAUGCCGAAGAGAUUUGGCAGUGCUCGCAAGAGAACCGGAACACAGGUGCUGCAUGGCUGUCGUCAGCUCGUGUCGUGAGAUGUUGGGUUAAGUCCCGCAACGAGCGCAACCCUUGUCAUUAGUUGCUACGAAAGGGCACUCUAAUGAGACUGCCGGUGACAAACCGGAGGAAGGUGGGGAUGACGUCAAGUCCUCAUGGCCCUUAUGGGUAGGGCUUCACACGUCAUACAAUGGUCGGGACAGAGGGUCGCCAACCCGCGAGGGGGAGCCAAUCCCAGAAACCCGAUCGUAGUCCGGAUCGCAGUCUGCAACUCGACUGCGUGAAGUCGGAAUCGCUAGUAA
rnacentral:rRNA from 1 species